GUUAACCUAAUUUAAUAUUCUAAAAUUGAUCAAUCUCCUAACAAGUGAAAGGAAACGGGAAGGGAGAAUAAGUGAUACGAGUUAAGGCAAUUACUCUGAAUCGCAACCAGGUUCGGUGAGCGUUGGUCGUCGAUUUGCAACAAUAGCUCUGAAUUGGUAUUGCCUCUUCUGCGUUUAUGAUGAAUGAACCAAGAAAACAUUCAACUUGCAGAAUUCGGAAAUGGAAGGAUGAAGGUGGAUGCACGAGAAACUGUUAUGCCGAUGAUGGUGCGAUUUGGCUAUGAUCUGGGAAAAGAGGAGCGAAGCCUUUAUUUUGCAGAAAGAGAGGGAAGAGAAGCUGGUGAAAGUUAGUUAGAGGCGCGGGAAGAAGAAGAAAGUGGAAGAUUCAAGAAGAAAAAGAAAGAGGGAAGAAGAAAUUCUGGAAAAUUUGGAGAAGAAGGUUCCACUGUUCAAUCUUGUAUUUAUAGAGUUGUGUAAUUGAAUUGGGAUGAUAGUUAUAAUUUUUUUCUGCAUUGCGUUUUUGGAUUGA